GGUUAUUGCUGUGUGCGAUAAUUUAAUCAGAUUUAAAGUAAGGGACAUUCAAUGUCAUUAUCAAAAACAAUCGGUACAGUUAAGUGGUUUAACGAAGAGAAAGGUUUUGGUUUUUUAACUCAAGACAAUGGCGGUGCUGACGUAUUUGUUCACUUCCGCGCUAUCGCUUCAGAAGGCUUCAAAACGUUAGCUGAAGGCCAAAAAGUAUCAUUUGAUGUUGAGCAAGGCCAAAAAGGUCUGCAAGCUGCGAACGUUGUAGCUAUCUAAUUUAUCCUCGCUGAUAAAUAAUAAAAAUGCUGGCUAAGGCUGGCAUUUUUUA
rnacentral:other from 1 species